GAAAUGCGAUAAGUAAUGUGAAUUGCAGAAUUCAGUGAAUCAUCGAAUCUUUGAACGCACCUUGCGCUCCUUGGUAUUCCUUGGAGCAUGCCUGUUUGAGUAUCAUGAAAUCUUCAAAGUAAAUCUUUUGUUAACUCAAUUGGUUUCUACUUUGGUAUUGGAGGUCUUUGCAGCUUCACACCUGCUCCUCUUUGUUCAUUAGCUGGAUCUCAGUGUUAUGCUUGGUUCCACUCGGCGUGAUAAGUUAUCUAUCGCUGAGGACACUGUAAAAGGUGGCCAGGUAAAUGCAGAUGAACCGCUUCUAAUAGUCCAUUGACUUGGACAAUACUUUUAUGAUCUGAUCUCAAAUCAGGUAGGACUACCCGCUGAACUUAAGCA
rnacentral:misc_RNA from 1 species